AAUAUCAUGUCAAAAUUUUAUUCUGGAUCAUGGGAAUUCAAAAAUUAGGUCACAAUGUCAAAUCUUAGAGAACCCUUUUGCCUUUUUAGAAGCUGAAUUUAAGAUUUGAUCUUUUAAGAAACUUGGUCAUAAUGGUUAUCUUGGCAUUAUCUAGGCUGAUUAAAAAUAUGGGCCACAUACGUACUUAAGUAAGGUUAGCAGAUCAAAGCCUAGAAAUAGCUUGUUAACAUUCUGGAAGACUCACACUUUAUGACUAAUUAUUGAUGAAUAAUUGUAAGAAUGUUUUUCUCAACAAUCUCUUGGCCGUUUGAAUCUGCAUCAUGUGUAUCCAUAAACAAGGUAAAAUGUAUUGAAAACUGUCUUAACCACUAUAGAGACCAUUAAGUGCUCAUUCUUGAUGAAACCUGUGGGGUCACAUGGAUGUAAAAUUUAGGUCACCAGUUCAUUUCUUAGAAAAAAAACAUAUUACAUCUACAGAAGCUACUUUUUUACACAAUCUUGAUAAAACAUGGUCGAAAUGUUCAUUAAGGCAAUAUCAAGGCCAUGUUUGAGUAUGGGUUAAGUUUCGAAAAAAAAUUAGGUCAUUAAGUCAAGUCUUCAAUUAUCUGUGUACUUUGACCUUAGUUAGGAGCAUAAGGGCCAUUAAUGUCCUUUUGUUGUAAGCAUGCUUUUGUUUGCCAGUAUUUAAUUAAAUGUUGCUCAGAAGUAGACGUUUUCUUAGAAAUAGUAUGUUGUCUUUAAAAAAAACAUGAAAUUCUGUUUAUUAUGUUGAAUCAUAAAUAAGAGUGGUUUUUUAUUGAUGAAUGUUUUCAGUGACAAGUGAAUUCACUUGUUAUUUUAGUCUUGAGAGGAAACAAUUUUCAUUAGUUUCUUAAUAUGUUUUAAAUUAUUAAAUACAAAUAUUUUAAAACUAUACUUUUUUAUGCUCCCAUAAAAUUUAUUUUGGGGGGAGCAUUAAUAGUUGCCACUUCAUCUGUCCGUCCGUGUGUCUGUUUGUGCAAAAUUUUUGUCUGGGCUAUUUCUCAGCAACUAAUGACCGGAAUUCAAUGAAACUUUAUGAGAAGCUUCACUGCCAAGAGGAGAUGUGCAUAUUAUCAGGGGGUUUUGGUCGGAUGAUUUUUCACAGAGAUAUGGCCCUUUGAAGAAUUCUAUAAAAAAAUUCUUGUCCCCCCAAGGACUGUGCUCUCAAGACGUUUCCUUUAAUCUUAAUAUAUAGUGCAAUAUUGUGACAAAAAAAACUUUGGGGAGCAUCACCUGUCUCCAACGGUUUCUUGUUUAAACAUAUUUUUCAAUACAUAGGCAGAUAAUGUCAUAAUUUUUCUAUAACAUUUUAUGUAAAUUGUACAUACCAAUUAUGAUUUGGUCUUUUAGCACAAUAUUUAUUAAAUUUUGUAUUAUUAUAAAAGAUAGUUUGUCAAUAUAUAGUUUUCUAGUGUAUUGUCAGAAUUUAAUUGGCAAACUAAAUCAUUAAAAAAUUUCUUAAAUCUUACAAAAUAAAUCUUAAUUUAAAUAUCUGCAUGUAAUAUGUUUGUAAGUCUAGUAUAAAUAAUGUAAUAUAUGUUAUUUCUCUUUAUUGUAUUUAACAGUAUGUUAAUGUUUUCUUUUGGUUUAAAAAAACAUAAUUAUAACAAAAUUGCUUAUUGUUUAAUCUUUUAUUAAGACACAUAAUAUUACAGGGAUUCACAUUUAUAAAUGUUGAUUACUUGUUACUAAGUUGACAUCUUUAUAACAAGCUAAGACACACAUGACAGUUCACACUGACCAGGGAGUGUUUGAGUUGUCUAGACCUUAGAUCAUGUAUCAUGUACAACUGUCAAUAUUACUGCAACUUCUUGAUGUCAGUUACAUUUGUUUGCUAUAUAUGAGUCACAGUCUAGGAAAAAGGGAUUAGAUCAUGUCCGUAAAGUUUCGUCCCAGAUAAGCAUGUGCAGACUGCAGAGGCUUAUUAUGGACAACACUUUCUGCUAAAACUGGUUUUUGGUUUAGCGGACAUUUUCUUUAAACAACAAAUGCCAUAAAAGCAGGAAAGUGUCCUCUCUGAUUAGCCUGUGCAAAGUGAAAGGCUAAUCUGGAAUGAACUUUAAGCAACUUUUAUGUAUAUCAUGUUAUGUAUUUUUGUGUUUUCACUAACAAGCUUUUGCAAUCGCCUCAAGCGAAAUUGCAGGCCGAAAAAUAGUUAAUGACCAAAAGAUUAUUAAAUUAAAAUUACACAGCAAUUUUAUUCUUAUACUCAUGUUUACAUUGUAUAUUCUUUAUAAAUCUGUGUUCAUUUGGUUUACAUAUCAAUCGUAAUUUGAAUUCUUAAAGUUGAACAUUUAUUUCUUUUAUAAUUGCAUUCAUCAAUAUUUUAUUUUAGCAAACAUACAUUUAUGUAGAAUGGCUGGUGUUAACAUUCACAUUGUUGAUUAAUUGUACCAUCUAAUGGAGAAGUCAUAAAGCAUGGGUUAAGACUCUUAUCUAAAGCAGUUGUGUGCAUUGAAUAUGAACAUCAAAAGGAACAUAUCUAUUUAUAAUUGUGUCGCGUUCUGAGAAAAGUGGGCUUAAUGCGUGUGCGUAAAGUUUUGUCCCAGAUUAUCCAGUGCAGUCCGCCUAAACUUGAUUUUCAGUAAGGAGGGACUUCCUUGAAACUAAAAAUACCAUAAAAGAGGAAAGUGUCGUCCCUGAUUAGCCUGUGCAGACUGCACAGGCUAAUCUGGGACGACACUUUACGCACAGGCAUUAUGCCCAGUUUUCUCAGAACGCGACACAAUUAUACAUUGUUAUAUGGCCAUCACCUAUAGGACGAUAAAACAGUACAAUCUAAGGACUUCAGUGGCCUAUUCAGUAUGUAAAACAGAAGAAUGCACACUGCUAACAUUUAGGUACUAAGGUUACUAUAUUUAUUUAUGACCAAAUCUAUUAUUUAUUAUUUAAUACAAUAAUUAAAGAUUGAUCAUGAUUAUUGUUUUUAAUAUCCUUCCAAUAUUUAAUGUUUUUUCCAGCAGUUAUGUUAAAGUUAAAAGUAUAAGAAUGAUUUACAUAUUUACUUGUUGUACUAAGAUUGAGCUCUUUAACAUGUUGCUCUCGGUCAUUGUAAAUUAAAUGAAAUAACUGUGUUUCUAGCUCGGGUGUUUUUGGACAAAACCCGAUGUAUUGUCAUAGCCAGCUCAUUGUGUCGCCAGCCGUCCGUGUUGUGCGAAAACCUUUACAUUUUGCUCUAAAAUCAAAGUGCUUCCACCUACAACUUUGAAACUUCAUAUGUACAUGCACCUUGAUGAGUUCUACAUGCCACACCCAUUUUGGAGUCUCUAGGUCAAAUGUAUAAAAAAAUCUGACAAGCUUUCAUUUAUUCAAAACUGCACCCGCAGCCGAGUGUUGGCACCUGUUAUGCGGCGCUCUUGUUUAAGGAAUCAAUUUCCUUUCGGAGUUACCCGGGAAUGGUGUUCCUUGUAAUUUUAUACAAACUUUCAUGAGGAUUAACAAAUUACAUGUUUCAUUAACAUGCUUAUUGGGAAAUGGCUUUAACACAAAUAUACAUCAGAAAAAUGAAACCUCAGCUUAUAAAGUUUUUAAAUGUAAAAGCUUUAAAUUGUCAUGUCUUUUCUGACACAAAUUCACAAAUCUAUACAAGUAGAGUACCGCUUUACUUCAAUUGAACUGGAGUAAAAGUUCAUAUGUUUGAAUUAAAACUUUAAUAGGAUACACACUAAGUGGGAAUAGCGUUUUUAAGCCUUAUUAAAUACAAAUAAUUAAAGUUGCUUUUAUGCUAAUCAAAUAUUUUAGUUUUUGGAAAUGGAUACUUGUUGAAAAAAGUAACACAAAUGCAUUUAUUGUAAUUUGUUAAAAGUUCCAUCUAAGAGAGUUUGAAAAUGUUGUUUGUUGUUUUUAGCUCACCUGAGCACAACGUGCUCAUGGUGAGCUUUUGUGAUGGCUUUUUGUCCAUCGUGUGUCGUCUGUCGUGCAUCGUCCGUCGUCAACAUUUUGCCUUGUGAACACUCUAGAGGCCACAUUUAUUGUCUGAUCUUCAUGAAAUUUGGUCAGAACAUUUGUUCCAUUGAUACCUCGACUGAGUUCGAAACUGGGUCGUGCUGGGUCAAAAACUAGGUCACUAGGUAAAAAAAAAGAAAAACCUUGUGAACACUGUAGAAGUCACAUUUGAUGCCCAAUCGUCAUGUAACUUUGUCAAAAUGUUUCUCUAAAUGAUACGUUGGUUGAGUUCAAAAAUGAUUCGGUCCGUUGAAAAACAUGGCCGCCAGAGGGCGGGGAAGUAUUCCUUAUAUGGCUAAAGAGACACCUUGUGAACACUCUAGAAGUCACAAUUUUUGCCCAAUCAUCAUGAAACUUGGUCAAAACAUUGGUUUCAUUGAUAUCUUGGACGAUUUUGAAAAUGGUCCAGAUCGGUGAAAAACAUGGCCGCCAGGGGGUGGGGCAGUUUUCCUUAUAUGGCUGUAGUAAAACCUUGUUAACACUCUAGAAGCCACAUUUAUUGUCCAUUUAUCUUCAUGAAAUUUGAUCGGUAGAUUGGUCUCAGUUUGCUUGAAAACCUGGCUGCCAAGGGGGGGGGGCAUUUUUCCUUAUAUGUCUAUAUAUGGCUAUAGUAAAACCUUGUGAACACUCUAGAGGCUACAUUUAUUGCCCAAUCUUCAUGAAAUUUGGUCAGAAAAUUGGUCUCAAUGAAAUCUUGGAUGAUUUCAAAAAUGGUAACAUUUGCUUGAAAAACAUGGCUUCCAAGGGCCGGGGCAUUUUUCCUUAUAUGGCUAUACAUGUAUAUGGCUAUAGUAAAAUCUUGUUAACACUCUAGAGGCCACAUUAGUUUGUCCCAUCUUCAUGAAACUUGGUCAGAAUAUUCACCCCAAUAAUAUCUUGGAUGAGUUUAAAAAUGAUGCUGGUUGGUUGAAAAACAUGGCUGCCAGGGGGCGGGGCAUUUUUCGAAAAUGGUCCAGAUCGGUGAAAAAACAUGGCCGCCAGGGGGUGGGGCAGUUUUCCUUAUAUGGCUAUAGUAAAACCUUGUUAACACUCUAGAGGCCACAUUUAUUGUCCAAUCUUCAUGAAAUUUGAUCGGAAGAUUGGUCUCAGUUUGCUUGAACAACCUGGCUGCCAAGGGGAGGGGGCAUUUUUCCUUAUAUGGCUAUAGUAAAACCUUGUGAACACUCUAGAGGCCACAUUUAUUGUCCAAUCUUCAUGAAAUUUGGUCAGAAAAUUGGUCUCAAUGAUAUCUUGGAUGAUUUCGAAAAUGGUUACGUUUGCUUGAAAAACAUGGCUGCCAAGGGGCGGGGCAUUUUUCCUUAUAUGGCUAUACAUGUAUAUGGCUAUAGUAAAUCUUGUUUACACUCUAGAGGCCACAUGUGUUUGUCCGAUCAUCAUGAAACUUGGUCAGAAUAUUCACCCCAAUAAUAUCUUGGAUGAGUUCAAAAAUGAUGCUGGUUGUUUGAAAAACAUGGCUGCCAGGGGGCGGGGCAUUUUUCCUUAUCUUCAUGAAACUUGGUCAGAAGAUUUGUCCUAAUGAUAUCUUGGAUGAGUUUGAAAAUGGUAUCAGUUGCUUAAAAAACAUGGCCACCAGGGGCUGGGCAUUUUUCCUAAUAUGGCUAUAUAUCAUGCUUUAGUAAAACCUUGUUAACACUCUAGAGGCCACAUUUAUUGUCCGAUCAUCAUGAAACUUGGUCAGAUAAUUUGUCCCAAUAAUAUCUUGGAUGAGUUCGAAAAUGGAACCGGUUGGUGGAAAAACAUGGCCGCCAAAGGGGCGUGGCAUUUUUCCUUAUAUAGCUAUAUUUAAACCUUGUGAACACUCUAGAAGCCAUAUUUAUUGUACGAUCAUCAUGAAACUUUUUCAGAAGAUUUGUCCCAAUGAUAUUUUUGACAGAUUUGAAAGUGGUUCCAGUUGCUUGUAAAACAUGGCCACCAGUGGACCGGGCAUUUUCACUUAUAUGGACUUAUGAAUCUUCAUGAAACUUUGUCAGUUUAUUUGUUUUAAUGAUAUCUUGGAUGUGUAUGAAAAUGGUUCUGGUCUGUUGAAAAACUUGGCUGCCAGGGUGUUCACUAGUCAUGAAAAUUGGUAAGAACAUAUUGUUCUAAUGACAUCUCGGGCUGCACAGAACAGGUCAGUUCCUUUGAAUCUCAGGUGAGCGACUUUGGGCCUUUCAGGCCCUCUUGUUAAAAGUAUUGUCUUCUAAAGUUUGCCAUUCAAUAUGUUAAAGUUCUGCUAUUGAGACUAAGGGAUAAUUGCCCAGAGUUAGGGUGGUGGGCCAACCAAUUCUUUGAAAAUAAUGUUCUUUGACCAGAUUCAAACUUUACUAUAUUUAGUUGUUUAAACAUAUAACAUACAUUUAUUGAUGCUAGUAACCAACAGAAAAUACUCAUUAAAUGUAUAUGUUUAUUGGUUGAAGCCUUUCAACUUUUCACACUGCUGAUGGGCAAUGGAUGGGAAUGAUUGCUAACCAAUUAGGGACAGGGUGCAUAACUUUGCUAUUUGACAUUUGAUCUUUUCUUUUUCAUUAAAUCUAAAAUGGUGAUGGCCAUUAUUGAGUUUUGCUUUUCUUCUGUGUUUUGACAGUGAAAUGUCUUGGUAUAUAGAGCCACAUACUGAAAACUUAGUUUCCAAAUGUACCAAGUUCUAGUCAUGAAAUAAUAGUUAUCAUGUUGUCUCUGAAAAAUAUUUUAGAGUCUGAAAUAUUUGUGAAUUUUUUUUGUUAUGAGUAUUUGUUGAACUUGUCAUGCAUGUUUAUUGAAAUAUAUAUUAGUGUUCAUUUUUAGCUUGGCUGUUUUCGGAGAAAACCCGAGGUAUUGUUAUAGCCAGCUCGUCGUCCGCCGUCAGCCGUAGGCGUCGUGCUAAAACCUUAACAUUGGCUCUAAAAUCAAAGUGCUUCCACCUUCAACUUUGAAACUUCAUAUGUAGAUGCACCUUGAUGAGUUCUACACGCCACACCCAAUUUUGGGUCACUAGGUCAAAGGUCAAGGUCACUGUGACCUCUAAUAUAAAACUUAAAUGUAGGCUCUAAAGUCAAAGUGCUUCCACCUACAAUUUUGAAACUUCAUAUGUAGAUGCACCUUGAUGAGUUCUACACGCCACUCCCAUUUUUGGGUCACUAGGUCAAAGGUCAAGGUCACUGUUACCUCUAAAAAAAAAUCUGAAAAGCUUUCGCAGCCGAGCUUGGUACCCGUUAUGCGGUGCUCUUGUUGCUUCUUUAUAGUUGUAAUAGCUGUUUUUUGUCGGUUCACAUAAAGUUAUAUGUUGUUAUCAAUAUUUUGUGCUAUUUUAUAUUAUAUAUACAACGUAGUCAGCAUUUAGUGUUAAUGUUAAAAGUGUUUUUGUUGGAAAAUAAAAUGGCUUAAAACGUG